rnacentral:piRNA from 1 species
AUAGCAAACUCUUCUCUUCCAGCAUGCU